CAUAUGCAGUUAACCUUUUUACAUGCUCGAAAUCCUAAGACAUUAUUCAUCCGUGCUGGGCUUGUUUAUAUUAAUGUCUUUAAUCUCGGUAUUGUUCAUUUGUUCUAUCCAAUAUUCGGAGUAUUUUAGCAGUAGUCAGGCUCUGGCACACUCGACACUGACAUGUCGUUCAUCCAAUUGGAACGCCGUGUUGCUCGGAAGCAGUAUCUGCGUCAUUUAAUAAUAUUUAAUAUCGCUCAGUCUAAAUCAGAGGAAUAGUGCUGGUUUCCAGGACAACGCGUCAAAUGUCGAGCACUUGCUCCUGUAGGUUGUUUGCGUACAGUACAAUCUGCGAAGCGAUCGUGAGCUUUUAUAUGCACACUUUUUUCCGCUUAUUUGCUUCCCUUGCAUUCAUUGCGUUUUCUACUGGUUUCCAGUGGAGUACAGCUCAUUUCGUUCAUAAGGUAAAGAUGCGCUGGACACUUGCGGCAAGUCUUGCGUUGAUUCUGUGGACUACGGGAGUUCUCGCGGACAGCUACCCGCGGCCAGGGCGGUAUGACGACGACCGCAGAAGAUCCAAGGCUUUGGAUCCGGGACAACUUAUAAUUAACGACAUCAUCUGGCCGGAUGCAGACGACAACAGCAGUGCUUCCGAGGCUUUGGAUCUUGCCCGUCUUACAGUCAACGACAUCAUCUGGCCGGAUGCGGACGACAACAGCAGUGCACUGGAAAGCGUGCCCCCAGCCAGCCAUUCCGCACACACCGAAUAGCCGUCCGCUGCUCACCACCGGACAAGAUCUACCGGAUGCAUUCUACGGACCGAUCGAGCGGGAAGAGGAGAUAAAUUUUUCGAAAGUAUGGUCUUCCUUUUUACUCCGAAAUGAAUUGUGCCCAAUUGUAACCUUUCGAUAAAGACUACGAUCAAUAGUCAGUACGCUGAUCUAAGUCCGUCGUGACGCUCCAAGGGAUUUUUGCUUUGGGGCUUGUUGAAAAUCAGGCAUUUACUAGCGUGACGGUUAGUAAUUUGUUUUUUUGAUGAUUUCCUUGUCUCGAUUCCUUGUUUCGUUUCUCAUUCUGUUUCGGUUUCCCUGUUGAAAUGAUUUUUCGGCGAUUUCCUUUCCUCGUUGUCUACCCUAGAAUACGAAACCGGGACAUGCAUUUGGUGGAUAUUGAUAAACUACCCUAGUAAAGGUGA